AACCCGGAUGAACAGUUUCUGACAAAAUAAAAGCGCAGAUUAAUGUCAGCAGAUAAAUGAAGAGCUCGCUGAACGGGAGAAUGUGCACCAUCUAGAGGAGGAGAGCCAGCCAGUCUUAAUAAACCCACUCCCUAAAACCA